GACGAACGCUGGCGGCGCGCCUAACACAUGCAAGUCGAACGAGAGAGAAGGAGCUUGCUUCUUCGAUCGAGUGGCGAACGGGUGAGUAACGCGUGAGGAACCUGCCUCAAAGAGGGGGACAACAGUUGGAAACGACUGCUAAUACCGCAUAAGCCCACGGGUCGGCAUCGACCAGAGGGAAAAGGAGCAAUCCGCUUUGAGAUGGCCUCGCGUCCGAUUAGCUAGUUGGUGAGGUAACGGCCCACCAAGGCGACGAUCGGUAGCCGGACUGAGAGGUUGAACGGCCACAUUGGGACUGAGACACGGCCCAGACUCCUACGGGAGGCAGCAGUGGGGAAUAUUGCACAAUGGGGGAAACCCUGAUGCAGCGACGCCGCGUGGAGGAAGAAGGUCUUCGGAUUGUAAACUCCUGUUGU
rnacentral:rRNA from 1 species